rnacentral:rRNA from 1 species
UACAGAGGGGGCAAGCGUUGUUCGGAAUUACUGGGCGUAAAGGGCGCGUAGGCGGCCUGCUAAGUCGAACGUGAAACUCCCCGGGCUCAACCCGGGAACUGCGUCCGAUACUGGCAGGCUUGAAUUCGGGAGAGGGAUGUGGAAUUCCAGGUGUAGCGGUGAAAUGCGUAGAUAUCUGGAGGAACACCGGUGGCGAAGGCGGCAUCCUGGACCGAGAUUGACGCUGAUGCGCGAAAGCCAGGGGAGCCAAACGGG